AUCCAGAUGACGAGUCCCGAAUAGGAUGAAACACGCAUCGUGGAU
rfam:Schistosoma rodhaini strain Burundi genome assembly, scaffold: SROB_scaffold0000022